UACGGGGGGGGCAAGCGUUGUUCGGAAUUACUGGGCGUAAAGGGCGCGUAGGCGGAUUAGUAAGUUGGGAGUGAAAGCCCGGGGCUUAACCUCGGAACUGCUUUCAAAACUGCUAGUCUUGAGUGAAGUAGGGGAUGAUGGAAUUCCUAGUGUAGAGGUGAAAUUCUUAGAUAUUAGGAGGAACACCGGUGGCGAAGGCGGUCAUCUGGACUUCAACUGACGCUGAGGCGCGAAAGCGUGGGGAGCAAACAGG
rnacentral:rRNA from 1 species